rnacentral:sRNA from 2 species
GUUUGCACUUGUCGGGGAAGGGUGAGAACCUUCGAUUAAGGUUCGACUUGAGCGAAAGCGAGAGAACGUUGCCAACGGCAACGGCCCGUAGGGUGAGGAGCGAA